rnacentral:misc_RNA from 1 species
GUGAGUCAUCGAAUCUUUGAACGCACAUUGCGCCCGCCAGUAUUCUGGCGGGCAUGCCUGUUCGAGCGUCAUUUCAACCCUCAAGCCCCCGGGCUUGGUGUUGGGGAUCGGCACAACGGCCUCGCCAGAGGACGCGCCGGCCCCUAAAUCUAGUGGCGGUCUCGCUGCGGCUUCCAUUGCGUAGUAGCUAACACCUCGCAACUGGGACGCGGCGCGGCCAAGCCGUUAAACCCCCAACUUUUCUGAAUGUUGACCUCGGAUCAGGUAGGAAUACCCGCUGAACUUAAGCAUAUCAAUAAGCGGAGGA